rnacentral:rRNA from 1 species
AACAGGAUUAGAUACCCUGGUAGUCCACGCCGUAAACGAUGUCGACUUGGAGGUUGUGCCCUUGAGGCGUGGCUUCCGGAGCUAACGCGUUAAGUCGACCGCCUGGGGAGUACGGCCGCAAGGUUAAAACUCAAAUGAAUUGACGGGGGCCCGCACAAGCGGUGGAGCAUGUGGUUUAAUUCGAUGCAACGCGAAGAACCUUACCUACUCUUGACAUCCAGAGAACUUUCCAGAGAUGGAUUGGUGCCUUCGGGAACUCUGAGACAGGUGCUGCAUGGCUGUCGUCAGCUCGUGUUGUGAAAUGUUGGGUUAAGUCCCGCAACGAGCGCAACCCUUAUCCUUUGUUGCCAGCGGUUCGGCCGGGAACUCAAAGGAGACUGCCAGUGAUAAACUGGAGGAAGGUGGGGAUGACGUCAAGUCAUCAUGGCCCUUACGAGUAGGGCUACACACGUGCUACAAUGGCGCAUACAAAGAGAAGCGACCUCGCGAGAGCAAGCGGACCUCAUAAAGUGCGUCGUAGUCCGGAUUGGGGUCUGCAACUCGACUCCAUGAAGUCGGAAUCGCUAGUAAUCGUAGAUCAGAAUGCUACGGUGAAUACGUUCCCGGGCCUUGUACACACCGCCCGUCACACCAUGGGAGUGGGUUGCAAAAGAAGUAGGUAGCUUAACCUUCGGGAGGGCACUUACCACUUUGUGAUUCAUGACUGGGGUGAAGUCGUAACAAGGUAACC